AAGUCGUAACAAGGUUGCCGGAGGGGAACCUGCGGAAGGAUCAUUAACACGUAUCCACCGUUAAACCCCCCGUGAACCUUCAGUGCGCUCGCACUUUCUUAGAAAAGGUAGCAAUCCCUGGUAAAUCAUUGCCGAACAGUUUUGAUUCAGGGACUUCUGCGUAGACUGUGCUUGAGCGUGAGGCAAGUGGCCUGGCAUUCCUCUGCUUGUUGGUGUCUGAAAGUGUCACCAGCUCUGUACGAAUGGCGCAGUCACGAUCGCUAGAGGCCGACACGGCCGGCGACCGGGUCACUGGGCGCGAGCCCCCCUCGUCACCUUUGUGCGGCCACCAAACUCGAACAACUGUUAACAAUGGAUAUCUUGGUUCUC
rnacentral:misc_RNA from 1 species